AGAGUUUGAUCAUGGCUCAGGAUAAACGCUGGCGGUGUGCUUUAUGCAUGCAAGUCGGACGGGUCACUUCGGUGAUCAGUGGCAGACGGGUGAGUAACACGUAAGUAACCUGCCCUUAAGUGGGGAAUAGCCCUGAGAAAUCGGGGUUAAUACCGCAUGUGAUGGCGGAGCGCAAGCUUCGUCAUUAAAGCUUUCGGGCGCUUGAGGAGGGGCUUGCGUACGAUUAGUUUGUUGGUGAGGUAACGGCCCACCAAGGCGACGAUCGUUAGCUGGUUUGAGAGGACGACCAGCCACACUGGGACUGAGACACGGCCCAGACUCCUACGGGAGGCAGCAGCAAGGAAUAUUGGGCAAUGGGCGAAAGCCUGACCCAGCGACACCGCGUGGAGGAAGAAGGCCUUCGGGUUGUAAACUCCUUUUUCCGGGGAAGAUAACAGACGGUACCCGGGGAAUAAGUCUCGGCUAACUACGUGCCAGCAGCCGCGGUAAUACGUAGGAGGCGAGCGUUAUCCGGAUUUACUGGGCGUAAAGAGCGCGUAGGCGGUCUGUCAAGUCGGAUGUAAAAUCUCCCGGCUCAACUGGGAGGGCGCAUCCGAAACUGGUAGACUAGAGUGCAGCAGAGGGAAGUGGAAUUCCCGGUGUAGUGGUGAAAUGCGUAGAUAUCGGGAGGAACACUAGUGGCGAAGGCGGCUUUCUGGGCUGUAACUGACGCUGAGGUGCGAAGGCGUGGGGAGCAAACAGGAUUAGAUACCCUAGUAGUCC
rnacentral:rRNA from 1 species